AUGGCCGAGCAUCAGGCAGGCACCAAGAGCCGGCGCUUGGGCUCCAGCCGGCGCAAGGGCUUUGGUGAGGCACCAGCAGCAGCCUCCAGCCCCGGCAAGGAGCCACCGUGGGCAGCUGAAAUGGUGCAGAGGGUGCAGGAGCUGCUCAGGGAGCAGGACAAGGAGCAGGAGGGGCUCAUCACCCGCUCGGACAUACAGAAACUGCGUGAGGAAGAUCUCCCAUGCAGCAGGGAGGAGCUGGAGCUCGUCUUCAAUGGGCUGGAUGCUGCCAGCACCGGGCGGUUGAAAACUGAGGAAUUCACUUUUGGACUCUGUAAGUGCCGGCAGGACACUGCCAAGCUGAUGCUGGACAUGGUCCUAGUGCUGUCCCAGGGGGUACCUGAAACACUGACCCUGCCGAGUGGCAGAGGAUGGCCCAAAAGGUGUCCCCACAUCCAGGUCUCAUCCCAUGGCUCCCCUGGUGAGAGGUCCUCUUGUGCCAGAAUGGCUUCAUCGGAGCCAUGGGGUGGGAAGUGUUGGGAUUUGGGCUUUGCUGUCACCCUGGCACUGAGGGUUUGGGGUCUCUGUUGACAGGGCAGUUCCUGGCCUCCCAGAAAGCUGCCAGGGACCAUCGCCGGCGGAAAACAGCAUCCCGGAGGGUCCCCUUGGUCCUUCCCAGUCCGGCGCUGGAGGUGGACAGUGAGGAGCAGAGGCAGUUCUCUGCCUUUAUGGAGCAGUUGGGCACGGACAACAGCUCUGAGGAGUAAGCCUCUGAUUAGCAUCCAUGGAUGUCCUGCAGGAUGGGCUAGACAGGGAAAGGCUUGGGCAGGAGUGAGGGAGUGAGCCCAGAAAUGACUUGGAGGUGCCUUUGACCCCAGGACAGGAUCAUGCUCACCCCAGUGCUCAUCUGUCCUCCAGGACCAUCCUUAACAGUGUGAGCUAAACCCAUGGCACUGAGGCCUCGUCUCCGCUGUGUGAGCACUUGCAGGGCCGGUGCCUGCAGCCCUGCCCUGGGCAGCCUGUUCCAAUGCCUGAGCACCCUGUGGGGCAGGAAUUGUUCCUCAGCUCCAUCUAAACCUGCCCUGGUGCAGCUUGAGGCCGGUUCCUCUUGUCCCAUCCCUUGUUCUAUCCCUUGGGAGCAGAGCCCAGCCCCUCCUGGCUCCAUCCUCCUGCAGGCACUUGGAGGGAGCCAUCAGGUGCCCCCUGAGCCUUCUCUUCUCCAUCUGAACCCCCAGCUCCCUCAGCCAUUCCCCAUCUCUUGUGCUCCAGGCCCUGCUCCAGCUCCAUUCCCUUCUCUGGCCCCAUCCAGCCCCUCGAGGUCUCUCUUGCAGUGAGGGGC
rnacentral:lncRNA from 1 species